rnacentral:rRNA from 1 species
UACGUAGGGGGCAAGCGUUGUCCGGAUUUCUUGGGCGUAAAGAGCGUGUAGGCGGCCAGGUAGGUCUGCUGUGAAAACUCGAGGCUCAACCUCGAGAUGUCGGCGGAAACCAUCUGGCUAGAGUCCGGAAGAGGAAAGUGGAAUUCCCGGUGUAGCGGUGAAAUGCGCAGAUAUCGGGAAGAACACCCGUGGCGAAGGCGGCUUUCUGGGACGGUACUGACGCUGAGACGCGAAAGCGUGGGGAGCGAACAGG